CAGUAGCCGCGGUAAUACGUAGGGCGCAAGCGUUAUCCGGAAUUAUUGGGCGUAAAGAGCUCGUAGGCGGUUUGUCGCGUCUGCCGUGAAAGUCCGGGGCUCAACCCCGGAUCUGCGGUGGGUACGGGCAGACUAGAGUGAUGUAGGGGAGACUGGAAUUCCUGGUGUAGCGGUGAAAUGCGCAGAUAUCAGGGGGAACACCGAUGGCGAAGGCAGGUCUCUGGGCAUUAACUGACGCUGAGGAGCGAAAGCAUGGGGAGCGAACAGGAUUAGAUACCCCCGUAGUCCCUGUCUCUUAUAA
rnacentral:rRNA from 1 species